rnacentral:lncRNA from 1 species
GGGGAAGGGGUGGCUGUGCGCGCAGCUUCAGCAGACUUAAACGUUCCUGCCUGUCAGCUCUGAAGAGAACAGCAGAUCUCCUAGCACAGCGCUUGAGCUCUGCUAAGGGACAGACUGCCUCCUCAAGUGGGUCCCUGAUCGCCAUGCCUCCUGACUAGAAGACACCUCCCAACAGGGGUAGACAGACACCUCAUACAGGAGACCUCCUGCUGUCAUCAGGUGGGAGCCCCUCUGGGAUGAAGCUUCCAGAGGAAGGAGCAGGCAGCAAUCUUUGCUGUUCUGCAGCCUCCGCUGGUGAUACCCAAACAAACAAGGUCUGGAGUGGACCUCCAGCAAACUCCAGCAGACCUGCAGAAGAGAGUCCUGACUGUUAGAAAGACAACUAACAAACAGAAACAAUAACAUCAAUAUCAAGAAAAGGGACACCCACCCAAAAACCCCAUCCAAUGGUCAAUAGCAUCAAAAAUCAAAGAAAUGUACUUCUAUUAUUCCUAGAUGUGUGUCAGCCAAGAACUUAUCUCAGAAACUGCUUAUCCUUGCAAUAACAAAGGGGAAGUUUCCUCUUUAAAAAGGAACAUUGGGCUAAGAUGAUAUACUCUGAAGACGUAAAAAUGGCCUGGUGUCUAUUACAAAUAAAUGAAACACCAGAGUAUUGAAUGUAAUAUCUUCUGGUGUUUAGGUCUUAAUUUCUAAUAUGAGGUGCUUUUAAAAUUUUCAAGCUAUGUUUGAUGCAGAAAAUUAAACUUGACACAUUAAAGAAUACCAACUCACUUCGGACCUCUUAAGAAACAUGUAUUCUUCUGUAAGAAGCAACAUGUGAAUCAAGUUUAAAAGAUUAUGAACAUUUUGGACACUUG